AGAGUUUGAUCCUGGCUCAGGACGAACGCUGGCGGCGUGCUUAACACAUGCAAGUCGAGCGGUAAGGCCUUUCGGGGUACACGAGCGGCGAACGGGUGAGUAACACGUGGGUGAUCUGCCCUGCACUUCGGGAUAAGCCUGGGAAACUGGGUCUAAUACCGGAUAUGACCUCCUAUCGCAUGGUGGGUGGUGGAAAGAUUUAUCGGUGCAGGAUGGGCCCGCGGCCUAUCAGCUUGUUGGUGGGGUAAUGGCCUACCAAGGCGACGACGGGUAGCCGACCUGAGAGGGUGACCGGCCACACUGGGACUGAGACACGGCCCAGACUCCUACGGGAGGCAGCAGUGGGGAAUAUUGCACAAUGGGCGAAAGCCUGAUGCAGCGACGCCGCGUGAGGGAUGACGGCCUUCGGGUUGUAAACCUCUUUCAGCAGGGACGAAGCGCAAGUGACGGUACCUGCAGAAGAAGCACCGGCUAACUACGUGCCAGCAGCCCCCGGUAAUAC
rnacentral:rRNA from 1 species